UACGUAGGGUGCGAGCGUUAAUCGGAAUUACUGGGCGUAAAGCGUGCGCAGGCGGCGCCGCAAGUCAGGCGUGAAAUCCCCGAGCUUAACUUGGGAAUGGCGCUUGAAACUACGGUGCUGGAGUGUGGCAGAGGGAGGUGGAAUUCCACGUGUAGCGGUGAAAUGCGUAGAGAUGUGGAGGAACACCGAUGGCGAAGGCAGCCUCCUGGGCCAACACUGACGCUCAUGCACGAAAGCCUGGGGAGCAAACAGG
rnacentral:rRNA from 1 species